rnacentral:rRNA from 1 species
UACGGAGGGUGCAAGCGUUAUCCGGAUUUACUGGGUUUAAAGGGUGCGUAGGUGGAUAAUUAAGUCAGUGGUGAAAUCUUCAGGCUUAACCUGGAAACUGCCAUUGAUACUAUUUGUCUUGAAUACUUUGGAGGUAAGCGGAAUAUGUCAUGUAGCGGUGAAAUGCAUAGAUAUGACCCGGAACACCAAUUGCGAAGGCAGCAGGCUAAACAAAGAUUGACGCUGAGGCUCGAAAGCGUGGGGAGCAAACAGG